GGCGUGCUUAACACAUGCAAGUCGAACGGAAAGGCCCUGCUUUUGUGGGGUGCUCGAGUGGCGAACGGGUGAGUAACACGUGAGUAACCUGCCCUUGACUUUGGGAUAACUUCAGGAAACUGGGGCUAAUACCGGAUAGGAGCUCCUGCUGCAUGGUGGGGGUUGGAAAGUUCGGCGGUUGGGGAUGGACUCGCGGCUUAUCAGCUUGUUGGUGGGGUAGUGGCUUACCAAGGCCUUGACGGGUAGCCGGCCUGAGAGGGUGACCGGCCACAUUGGGACUGAGAUACGGCCCAGACUCCUACGGGAGGCAGCAGUGGGGAAUAUUGCACAAUGGGCGGAAGCCUGAUGCAGCAACGCCGCGUGCGGGAUGACGGCCUUCGGGUUGUAAACCGCUUUCGCCUGUGACGAAGCGUGAGUGACGGUAAUGGGUAAAGAAGCACCGGCUAACUACGUG
rnacentral:rRNA from 1 species